UCUGUUACUCGGAUAGCCGUAGUAAUUCUAGAGCUAAUACGUGCAACAAACCCCGACUUCUGGAAGGGACGCAUUUAUUAGAUAAAAGGUCGACGCGGGCUUAGCCCGUUGCUCUGAUGAUUCAUGAUAACUCGACGGAUCGCACGGCCAUCGUGCCGGCGACGCAUCAUUCAAAUUUCUGCCCUAUCAACUUUCGAUGGUAGGAUAGUGGCCUACUAUGGUGGUGACGGGUGACGGAGAAUUAGGGUUCGAUUCCGUAGAUGGAGCCUGAGAAACG
rnacentral:rRNA from 1 species